ensembl:snRNA U6 U6 spliceosomal RNA
GUGCUCGCUUCGGCAACACAUAUACUAAAAUUGGAACGAUACAGAGACUAACAUGGCCCCUGUGCCAGGAUGACAUACAAAUCUUUGUAUGACAUUCAAUCUUU